rnacentral:rRNA from 1 species
GACGAACGCUGGCGGCGUGCCUAAUACAUGCAAGUAGAACGCUGAAGAGAGGAGCUUGCUCUUCUUGGAUGAGUUGCGAACGGGUGAGUAACGCGUAGGUAACCUGCCUGGUAGCGGGGGAUAACUAUUGGAAACGAUAGCUAAUACCGCAUAAAAUGGAUUAUCGCAUGAUAAUCCAUUGAAAGGUGCAAAUGCAUCACUACCAGAUGGACCUGCGUUGUAUUAGCUAGUUGGUGGGGUAACGGCUCACCAAGGCGACGAUACAUAGCCGACCUGAGAGGGUGAUCGGCCACACUGGGACUGAGACACGGCCCAGACUCCUACGGGAGGCAGCAGUAGGGAAUCUUCGGCAAUGGACGGAAGUCUGACCGAGCAACGCCGCGGGAGUGAAGAAGGUUGUCGGAUCGUAAAGCUCUGUUGUAAGAGAAGAACGAGUGUGAGAGUGGAAAGUUCACACUGUGACGGUAUCUUACCAGAAAGGGACGGCUAACUACGUG